CUUUUAGGAUCCCUAUGUCAGAAAACAAUACUAGUAACCCUAAGUGGCAAUUCAUUGAUUGUGACGGUAAUAACCUGUUCCAUUUUGUUUUCUUCAUGUCUAGAUAUUCAGCCCCAAACAAGAAAAUGUGUGAAUCUUUAAAUAGAAAGAUGAACAACAAAUGACAUUGAAAAUUUCUGGGAAAAUGUGUAAUUGUGAUUAAACAAACCAAUUACACUAACAAUUCUAUUUUAUUAAGCUGACUGUGAACAAAUCCUCCUUGAAGGCUUUUUAUAGAUAGGUACCAAUGUUUGAUUAGACUGACAUUAAAUUAAGAGAUGAAUGAGGAACUGCCAGAGAAGAACCAAUCUGUUCACUAAUAAAGCCACCAAUGUAGAAAUAGCCCUGACCUACAUAAGUAGAAACAACUCUUCUGCCCAAAUUUGAAGUCAGUCAUGUUUUAAUCACAUUAAAGUAAUUUUUUUUCUUUAAAGGGUCUCAGCUUAUUUUUUCAACUUCUAAAUGCAUACUUCUGUUCUGGGUCCACAGGGAGUAAAAACAUACCUUUUAAAAUCAUGCAAGGCAACUGGACUCAUUUAUUUCAUUUUCAUGGAAAAACUCAGUGUCUACCACCUGCUUUUACCAACAACCCCUUCCAAAUUCUUUCUUUCCAUUUACCAUUAUAGCUCUCCGUUAAGCAAUAGGGUGUGUAGACCAUAUUCUAAUAAAUAAGUUGAAUGCCACUAUAGUCAUCUCCUUUGUAAAGUUAGAAAAAUGCUAAUAUGGCAUCAUUAUUCAGAGACUGAAUUCACUACUUGAUAAGAUGUGGAGGAGUUUAGCAAGCAUAAAAUUUUCGGAAGAAUGAAUUCUGGAUUAUCUGUAAAGUUAAUAAAAUCUAUUGGAGAGGUAGGAUAAGGAAGGUUACACCAUAGAACAUUUGCAUUUGCAGAAGUGGGAUGCUCUAAGCAAAUAGAUUUUAUGUAAUAAAGUGGAAAGCCUGACUGAGCAUGAAAUGCUCGUGUUAUUCUCCUAUUGACAAUGGGGAUCCUUAUCCAUUAUAAUGAUAGCAUGUUUGUGAUAUUAUAAUGAGAAAAAGCAUAUGCAAAUAGAAACAAUGAAUUAGAGGCAAUAAAAUACUUGGCUUCAUAAACUUCUUCAUGAAAGGUCAGAGGAAAGGUAUAGAAGGGAUCUGUGCCACAGGGAAUGACAUCAUGAAAGGUAAGAAUUUGACGUGUGUAUAAAAGUGUUGAGGUGAGAGUUCAGCUCUGGUUACUGCUGACCUCCUGCUUCUUCCACUGAUAGUGGUCAAAAUGGUAUAGGAAAUAAAUUGUGAAGUUAUUUAGCUAACAUGUCUGGUAUAUUCUACUCACCCAGUUGGUUGCCCAGGAAUUAAGGACCGGGGGAAACGGCUGUUCACUUCCACCUCUGGCCCCCUGGACUCUCCUGAAGUACACAACUCUGACCACAGAGCUUUGCAGAGUAUAUGGCACCUAUGAGGAACUCACUCAAGGCAUCCUGCACAAAGAAUAUCAUUGUGUUUCCCAAACUGUCACUGGCUUCCUAUUGCUUAUGAAAUAAAAUCGAUGCGCUUUAUCCCAGUGGAUUAAAUUAAAUACUAAAUUGCCUUUCGAACAUUGCCUCUCACCUUUUGGUCUUGAAAUUUUUGUUCACAACUCUCCUAAAAGAAUGUUUAAAAACCAUUUAUAACCUCAUCCAUUUUUAAGUUGGUAUUGAACAAAUUUUACUGUGGGUUUAAAAAGUUACAAAAAUGUAAUUCUAAAUAUUAUGUCUUUAAUAAACAUAAUAAUUUACCAUA
rnacentral:lncRNA from 1 species